rnacentral:misc_RNA from 1 species
GGGCAUUUAAUGCUUGUAGGACUCAAAGUGGCUCAUCGGUUAAUAAAGAAUUUAAUGCUUUCCCAAUAUUCGAUGUGCACCGACUUAGACCAGAUAUAGAGAACGGAUAGAAAAGAGAUCGGAAAGGUAAUAAGAGAUCAGAUGUGCAAGGAGAAGGAACAGAGAUCGGGCGGGAGAGUAUUUAGAAACAACUAUUGAGAGAUCAGUCAAAGGGGAGUAAGGUUAAGAGAUCGGGUAGAUCGAGAAGUUGAC